rnacentral:rRNA from 1 species
UUGGUGAACCAGCGGAGGGAUCAUUACCGAGUUUACAACUCCCAAACCCCAUGUGAACAUACCUGUUUCGUUCCCUCGGCGGUGUCCGGCAACGGCCCGCCAGAGGACCCAACAAACUCUUUUGAAUUUUUCAGUAUCUUCUGAGUGAAAAAAACAAUAAAUCAAAACUUUCAACAACGGAUCUCUUGGUUCUGGCAUCGAUGAAGAACGCAGCGAAAUGCGAUAAGUAAUGUGAAUUGCAGAAUUCAGUGAAUCAUCGAAUCUUUGAACGCACAUUGCGCCCGCCAGUAUUCUGGCGGGCAUGCCUGUUCGAGCGUCAUUUCAACCCUCAAGCACCUUCGGGAGCUUGGUGUUGGGGAUCGGCAGGGCGUCCUCCGGGUCGCGCCGUCCCCCAAAUCUAGUGGCGGUCUCGCUGUAGCUUCCUCUGCGUAGUAAUACACCUCGCUCUGGAGUCUCGGUGCGGCCACGCCGUUAAACCCCCAACUUUUUUCUGGUUGACCUCGAAUCAGGUAGGACUACCCGCUGAACUUAA